UACAGAGGUCUCGAGCGUUAGGCGGAAUCACUGGGCUUAAAGCGUGUGUAGGCGGAUCGGUAAGUACCUUGUGAAAUCCCACAGCCUAACUGUGGAACUGCUUGGUAUACUGCCAGUCUUGAGCCAGCUAGGGGCUACCGGAACAAAUGGUGGAGCGGUGAAAUGCGUAGAUAUCAUUUGGAACGCCAAUGGUGAAAACAGGUAGCUGGGGCUGUGCUGACGCUGAGACACGAAAGCCAGGGGAGCGAACGGG
rnacentral:rRNA from 1 species